UUUCCCUUCCUUUCUCUUUUUUAAACAAACAUCUAAACAUCUUUCAUCUUCCUAUAGCCUUUGAUCUGGGAGCAAAGGUCUUAUUGAUGUUGUUCUUAAUUCUUUUGCGUCAGAUCAGGAACAUGGACAACAGGAUCAAAACUGUGGACAUGAAGGGCACUGGAUCUUGGAUAUGAAGGAAGAACUGCAGAUGUUUGUCCUCCUGAAACGGGGAAAGGAGUAACCGAUGUCUGACUUGUCUUCAGAGAUCAAAAGUCUUUCUUAGAUUUCAGAAAAGGAAAACCACUUCAAUAGCCCCUUGGAAUGUGUCUUAAGGCUACAGAUUUCAGAAAUCCAAAACUGUAGAGUUGCAGCCAAUAUGUACUGUGCAGUUGUCGUACACGAUUUCUUACCUGCUGCUUGGCUCUGUUAAUGGUGAUUGGACAACUGACUUCCUGCAUACCAACGAUGUAUCCAAUCCUGAGAGAGUCCUGAUUGGAAGUAAUGACAACAUUUCCUGUUCAAGAUAAUGAGCCAAAUUAUAAUUUCUUGCUAUUAAU